GAUGAACGCUGGCGGCGUGCCUAAUACAUGCAAGUCGAGCGAACAGACGAGGAGCUUGCUCCUCUGACGUUAGCGGCGGACGGGUGAGUAACACGUGGAUAACCUACCUAUAAGACUGGGAUAACUUCGGGAAACCGGAGCUAAUACCGGAUAAUAUAUUGAACCGCAUGGUUCAAUAGUGAAAGACGGUUUUGCUGUCACUUAUAGAUGGAUCCGCGCCGCAUUAGCUAGUUGGUAAGGUAACGGCUUACCAAGGCAACGAUGCGUAGCCGACCUGAGAGGGUGAUCGGCCACACUGGAACUGAGACACGGUCCAGACUCCUACGGGAGGCAGCAGUAGGGAAUCUUCCGCAAUGGGCGAAAGCCUGACGGAGCAACGCCGCGUGAGUGAUGAAGGCCUUCGGAUCGUAAAACUCUGUUAUUAGGGAAGAACAAAUGUGUAAGUAACUAUGCACGUCUUGACGGUACCUAAUCAGAAAGCCACGGCUAACUACG
rnacentral:rRNA from 1 species